rnacentral:rRNA from 9 species
UUUGACCUCAAAUCAGGUAGGACUACCCGCUGAACUUAAG